UGCAUUUAUUAACCUAAAGGUGUUACCAAGCGUGCAAUAUUUUCAUGUAUCAUUAUAGAUUUGUUUCUCUUCCAAUUUGGAAAAACAUUCACUUCUGUACUUUACAAAGACGUCAAAUUGCAGUGCUCUUUUUUCGGUCUCAUGCAAUUUUGAUUGUCUUUGAAAACUAAUUUGUGCAUGUUUUCUUCCAAAUUGCCCCGAAACCAUACUUAUCUAAUAACUGCAUGUGCACAUUAUCAUAUGUAUAGAGAUUUCUUAAUGGGAAGUGCUGACGUUAAUUAACAAGUGCGAAAAUACAAUACAAAAGCAUGCACUUCCUAUUACUAAAUUUGUUUAUUUUAUAGAUACUGAUAUUUUCUAUUAGAUGGAUUGCCUUUAUUUAACGUAAUUUGGUUAAUUCAAAAGACAAAGGCCAUGCAAAGUCAAG